CAAAGGAGAAAGGAGAGCCCAGAGAGAUCUGUACAGGACCUCUCUUGCACAUGGUGACUGGAGGCAGAGGGUGGGGAGCUGGAGAGGAGUCCAGUCCCUCCAACAAAUAUUGAGGGCUUCAAAGAGCUCUUCCUGGACGUUUCUCUUAAUCUGGAUUUAAAAGGGACAGGAGGUAUCUUAGGGUCCAAGAACAUAACAGGAAUGGGCAACUCUAGAAGUGUUUGUGUGUGGAAGGCCCUAACCUGGCCCUGUCCUCCCUGUCUCUACCUUUGGCUUUCAUGAAGAGAGAUUCACAGCUCAGAGGAAGGGAGGAAUUUCUCCAGUCUUCACUUUAACAAACUCUUUUAAGUUUUCUGCCUACCUUAUGUUCCCUUUGGCCAAUGACCCACUCCCUGGGAACAAGAUCUUGUUGACUUUCUUGGGAAUCUCCUAAGAGAUAAGUGCUUUGUGUCGGAGACAAGUUCAGGUAAACCAACCAAGGCAGUGCCUCCCACAGUCAAAGAGAGAAGCUGGAGGGCCAAAGCCUAUAGAGUUGGGCACUACAGCUGCUCAUGCUGCAGAGGAGACAGCUAGUCAGGAACCCUGGAGAUUCAAGACAACUUGCUGGUCCCCUUUGCCCAGGGCUGUGGUCCUAAUCACAGUCCUUCACCUUUCCCAGGGUUAGCCUGUGUUUCAAAUGCAUAUGACCUGCGCUGAGAGGACAACAGGGGGUCAGGAACCUGGGGUUCUCUGGGGGGCAGACUAAGACGACUCCGGGAUCCAGACCCUUCUGCACCUUCAGAUGGGAGCUCCAGGCAGCUAAGGGGCCGAGGAGAAUGGGCAGAGAUCAUGCUACAAGGGGAGGUUCUGGGGAUGAGGCAGUAAUCCCCACCCUCAGUACAGGUCUGGGUUCGCCGAACUCCUUGAGCCUCAGUCCUUUGGCGGUCCCGGGCUAGGGCCACAGCAGCAUCAAAGGAAAGACUACCCCCAUUCCUCCAAGAGGAUCGAGAAGCUCGGGACCCCCAAGCCCUUUCUCCAGGAGUCCCAUCAAGCCGGCCAGGCCUCGGGCAUGGAUUUGCAGGUGCCACAUGAAUCUUGCUACACAUUGCACUGGGCAUCUUGGCAAACUGUGGCUUGGGGGGCACCACAGGCACAGAGCGGACCUGUUGGACCUGAACCAGAGUGGAAGCUAGACGCAUGCCCACGCCACCCAGGCCAAGAGAACAGGGGCAUAGACAGCCGUCUGGACUGGGCUGCCCCUCAGGCUCCAUCUCCUCUGGCUGAGGUGGCUGUGGGGCUACCUCUUCCAUCUCAGAAGAGUGAGGAUUGCCCUCUUUGGCACAGUCAACCUCCAGGGACGCUACACCUGAACCUUCAGAGAGGGUGUCCUCUUCUAAAUAGUACCCUCCAGCCCUCUGGUCUCCCUCAGCCUCUCCAUCCCCACUCUCCCGUUCCUUGCUGACCUCCCCUGCUCCUCCUUCAGUUGCUGCUUCUGGGCUUCUGCUGUCUUCACCAUCUCCUUGGUCUUUUCUUGCUUCAUGGUACCCCUUCUCCCUCUGUCCUUUGUCCUCAUCCUCUCUGACUCCCUCAGCCUCUUGUUUCUGUACAACUUCCCAUUUCUCCUCAGCAACUUGAUCUUCCUGGGCCCCUUGCUCUAGGUCCCUUCCAGCUUCUACCUGGGCUUCCUCUCUUUGUUCAUCCUCUUCUCUCUCAAUUUCUUUUUCCUUCUCAUCUGUAUACUCAUCUCCUCCUGGUUCCUCCACACCUUUAGCCUCCAUACUGUCAGCCUUCUUCUGACCUUUGGACUUCUCUUCCUUGGCCUCUGUCUCUUCCCUACUCCCUUCUCUCAAUCUGACUUUUGUCUCUUGGCUUCCCCCAGCCUCCCCUCUAUCCUCACUGGCCUUUCCAGCCUCCACCUUGGUCUCUGGACUUCCCUCUGCCUCUUCCCUGAUGUCUAGCCUGCCUCCAGGCUCAGCCUGCUUGUCCUCCCCAACUUCCCAGCAUGCCUGCUCUUCCCCACCCUGUCCCAGAGCCUGCCUUCCACAUCCUGCUGCCUCUCCCUCCAGACUCCCUGAACCCUUCCAGAUUGGGGGUUUAGGUCCCAGAAGGGGACUUAGGUCAUCAUAGGCACUCAGGAAAACUUCCUCCCCAUUUUCCUCCUCAACUUCAGGCCUGGGGCCAGCGGAGUCCAGGGAACAGCAGCUGGGGGCCAAGACAAACUGUGCCUCAUCCAGAGACAGGUCAUCCAGGGGUGGCUCCACAGAGAACUCCUCCACCUGUAGGCACAGCAUUGUGACUCAGGACCAGGAGGCCCUGUCCACCCUUGACUCCAUGCCACCCCCAAACCCAGCACGGCUCUCCUUACCUGAGGCCCAACUCCCAGGAGCUCCUCCAGGGUUCUCUCCAUGUGGCCACUACCAACAUCCCUGUAUGAGACUCAGCUGAAGUAGGUGAUCUUCAAGGCUCUCUGUAACUAACUUGACUCCCCAACAGUGGGAUAUGUGGAGGGCAGGAAGGACACUGACCAGAGAGGGCAGCACCCCCAAAGAGCUGGUCCACGUGUGUGAGGAUGAACUCCACGACGAUGGAUUGUACCCGCACCUCCAUGAAGGCCGCUGUCCCAUUGAAGCCUGAGGCCUCUAUGUCCUUAGACCUGUGGAGAUGUGGAAUUAUUCUCCCCCUCAGCCCCACCAAACUUCCCAAUCCAGAUUCUCCCUGAAAAUACCUUAUUCUCUCUCUCUCUCUCUCUCUCUCUCUCUCUCUCUCUCUCUCUCGAAUGACCUUAACCCCUUCUCUACCUCUUAAAUUGUAUGCAUAAUUCUUCCAAUUCUCAAAUGCCACUUGAAGACUUCUAGGAAGGAAGCCUUCUUGGACACCCGCCUCAGGAUUAAUCUCUAUUUCCU
rnacentral:lncRNA from 1 species